GCCGCCGCCGAGCCCCGAUUGGCGCCGGCGGCCCCGGCUCCCCCCUCGGCCCGCGCCCGUCCCGCCGCAGCCAUGAACCCGCUGUUCGGCCCCAAUCUCUUCUUACUGCCGCAGGAGCAGCAGGGGCUGCCCGGCUCCGAGCCGCCCGUCCCGCGGCCCGCGGAGCCCUUCGCGGCUGAGCGCGGCCCCCCGCCGCCGCCGCCGCCCUCGGCCGUGGCCGGCCCGUUCCCCGCUCCGCCCGCCGCCAUGGCCCUCCGCAACGACCUGGGCUCCAACAUCAGCGUGCUGAAGACGCUGAACCUGAGGUUCCGCUGCUUCCUGGCCAAGGUCCACGAGCUGGAGCGGCGCAACCGGCAGCUGGAGAAGCAGCUGCAGCAGGCGCUGGAGGAGGGCGGCCGGGCCCGCGGUCCCCCGCGCCGCGACCAGGCGGUGCAGACCGGCCUGCUGGGGCCCAUCCGCCCGCUGGGGCUGGCGCUGGCCGCCGGUCGCCCCGCCGCUCUGUGCGGGCCCGGCCGCCCGUUAAGCUCCCCGGGCUGCCACCCCGGCGCCCCCGCCCAGGCGCCGCCCUUCUCGGCCAACUCCCGCUUCAUGCCCGGCACCAUCUGGUCCUUCUCGCAGGCCCGCAGGCUGGGCCCCGGACCGGAGACCACGUUGGUGCAGGGGCCGGGGGUGUCGUGGAUCCAUCCGGACGGGGUGGGCGUGCAGAUCGACACCAUCACCCCCGAGAUCCGCGCCCUCUACAACGUGCUGGCCAAGGUGAAGAGGGAGCGCGACGAAUAUAAGCGCAGAUGGGAAGAGGAGUACACAGUUCGUGUCCAGCUUCAGGACCGAGUCACAGAGCUGCAGGAGGAAGCCCAGGAGGCUGAAGCAUGCCAGGAGGAACUGGCCAUGAAGGUGGAACAACUCAAGGCAGAGCUUGUUGUCUUCAAGGGACUGAUGAGCAAUAACAUCACAGAGCUGGACACCAAGAUCCAGGAGAAGGCCAUGAAGGUAGACAUGGACAUCUGCCGGCGCAUUGACAUCACUGCCAAGCUAUGUGAUGUGGCACAGCAGCGGAACUGCGAGGACAUGAUCAAGAUGUUUCAGAAGCAAUUGUCUCUGCACUUGUCUCCCGUUAAGGUCCCAGCCUCGAUGGGGCGGAAGCGGGAGCGGAAGCAGGUCAGCGAUGAAGACACUUCACUGUCAGAGAGCGAUGCCUCCAGAAAGCCUGAUGAGGAAGAAGAGGAUGAGACCACAGCCAUGAGUAUCAAUGAGGAAAUGCAAAGGAUGCUGAACCAGCUGAGGGAAUAUGAUUUUGAAGAUGACUGUGACAGCCUCACGUGGGAGGAAACAGAAGAGACACUGCUUCUCUGGGAGGACUUCUCUGGAUACGCCAUUGCAGCUGCAGAGGUGCAGGGGGAGCAGCAGGAUGACAGCUUGGAGAAGGUGAUCAAAGACACAGAGUCAUUGUUCAAGAGCCGCGAGAAGGAAUACCAGGAAACCAUUGACCAAAUAGAGCUGGAGCUGGCCACAGCCAAGAAUGAUAUGAACCGGCACCUGCACGAGUACAUGGAGAUGUGCAGCAUGAAGCGAGGUCUGGAUGUGCAGAUGGAGACUUGCCGACGGCUCAUCACCCAGUCUGGGGACAGGAAAUCUCCUGCCUUCACCCCAGCCUCCACCAGCGAGUCAGCCCCCAAUGAGGAGAGUGAGGAGUCAGAUCGUGAUCCCCCCAGCGAUGCUUCCAUCAGAUAAUGAGGGGAGGCCCUGUUCCCUCAGCCCCUCACUCCUGGCUGAGAGGUGUUUGAGCUGCUGCUGGGAGAGACUGUCAGGGACGUGGAGCCGCUGGUAAACAUUUGUUGCCCAGGCUCACCCCCAACUUGGGGCAUCUGGCAGACCCCCUGCUACCAGGUGUCUUGCAAAUGGCUAGGUAAACCUGUCUGGGCUGCUCACCUCCAGCCCCUUCUGUUCCUCUCCCCUGCUUUGGUUUAACCAUGGUUCAGGCAGGAUGGUCCCAAACUUGCCAUGGCAGUGUUCUCCAGGGGCUGUCCAUAGGUCCUCCAAACACACCUCCAGACUCUGUCCUGGCAUAUCUGACCUACCCCUGGCCUUCCUCGCGCCAUGCAGAAGCUGAACUCAAGCUGUACCUCCCUGCAAACUGGACCUGACUCUGGUGCCAACUGGACCGAGCCUGGGGCUCUUCCCACCCUUGCUGCUCCCCAGGCACUGGGGUGGCCCUGGAGCUGCGCCAGGCCCCACUACUCUCUCCUCCUUUGGAGCAGGGACCGAGUCCCGCUCACCAUGCACUUUGCUUUGCUGCACGUCAGCAGCACAUUUGUUACGGAGACCAGGAAUCAUUAAACGGGACAGAUGCCUUUUCUACAGCUCCUACAGGUGUGGGCUCUCACUGGGCUGCAGCAGGUGCUGGGCUGUACUGCUGGAAGCAGGGCACCUCUGCCCAUCCCCACACCAGGCCCGCUUCAGCGUGGUCUUCCUAGGGUGCUCCAUCCCUCAGAAGGUGCUGGCGGCGAGAUCCCUCUUCUGGCAGCUACAAGCCCUCAAAGGGCUGCAUGUAAUGCUGGUACUGUGUGGGCCAGGCUCUAGGCUAAAAAUAAAUGUGAACCCAAUCAUUUUAUCUGCACUGACGCUACGGCACUUUCCUCUAAUGUAUCUGCAUCCCUUCACUGCAGGCCAGCAUCCUCACUCCAGCUUUCUCCUGCUUUGCAUUUAAAAACAUAAAAAAGCAAAACCCAACUGCACAAAGAUGUUAGUUCACAGGCUGAGAUUAGUUGAUGGGAGAAUGACUGAGCAGUGCUGAGAUAUUGGGAUGGUUUCAGUUCCUAGAGGAAACUAAGCUGAACGUGGUUUGUGCCUAGCAGACCUUCCUGUCUAAGAGCUUGGUUUCUGCCAGUUCAGCUUUUUGCCAAGGUGUCCAGAACAUCUCCUUUACUCAUCCUCAGUUCUAAAUCCGACUGGGCAUUACCACAAUAUCCUUUUCCUACCAUCUCUUGUAGUGUUUACCUGUGUGGGCCUUGCCCUUCCCCCUUGUUAUUGGGAUCUUUGGGUCCAAUAGGGUGGCAGAGGUGUCCUGCAGAGAGACUGUUUUGUAUGGCUAUCUGCAGACCAGCAGACCUGGGCUGCACAGCAAAGGCAGGUGAAGCUCCAGAGAAAAACACUUGUUGCAAAAGGUCCUGAAUCAAAGGUAAAAGUAGAUCACAGUAGAAGCUUUUUGGAUCACUUGUAAGAUUAGGUAGAUAAAAUGUGGGCUGCAGGAUGCAACAAUUUACCUUGCAAGAUUGGUCUGUGUAAUUAACUGCUGCUGUGCUACACAAGCAGAGCACCUGCACAUCUGUGUGUUGUGAUGCAUUUAAGCAGGGUGAGGUCCUCUGUAUGUGCUUGCAAGACACACUUCAGCACAUGUUGGUGUUUCAGUAUAGGUGGACUGUCUGGUUAGAUGUACCUUUCUGGGUUGUCUCUAUUUCCUUUGAAUUUUGCUUUCUAGAAGAACAAAAAAUAGAGCAAGUGUUUUCAUCUCGUACUUUUUUCUUUUGAGUGAUGUUUUCUCACACUCAGUAGCUCAGGGAUCACUGCCUGAAGGCUCUUUUGCUUUAUAUAAAUCCCUUUCCCAAAUGUUUCUUUGCAGCAUUUUCUGCCCUUUUUCUGCUGUGGAGAUCUCUGUCUGGCUGGAGAAAUCUGUCUCUCCCCAUGCGUAAUCCAUGGCAUGCAUAUCUUGGCUUCUGAUCUGUCUGUGCUGCUUAAGGAAACCACAGGACUGUAGAGUAUGUAUGCUGAAAGAUUUCAAGCAUGAAGUGCAGAUGGACCAACGUCUGUCUCUAGGAAUCAUUGCUCAGAUGAUCACCUGGUGCUGUCAGACACCUGUGUGCCAGGGCACGUGGGGAUCCCUGUCCCACACUAGGACUAUCCUGGACCUGGCAGAUAAGUUGAUGAAGUGAAUACUGGGGGAGCAGCUCAGCUGCUCUUUAGGACUCACCUGGGAACAUGUUGCUGCUGAGCCUAGUCUGCAGCAGACCUUGGAAAGCAGGGGACAAAAUCCUGCUGUACAAUCCAUGCAUUAGUGUAAACGUUUAUUGCCCAAGCGCAGUCCAAGCAGGAUGUGUCUUGAUGAAUGCAGUUCUACAGCACAAGGUAUUUGGCAGUCCCUCUGUCAGUAUCCAUCUCAGGACCCUGCAGAUGUGACCGCUGUCUGGUCAGCUGUGUGACUGCCUGUUGACCAUCCUUCUUGGAGGCUCAUCUCUGAACUUAUGUUGAGGUCCUGUAUCUGAGUAUGUAGGCAGGCUGGUUCAGCUUACCUACACUGUAGAACUCCAUGUUGGAGCAGCCUAGGAACAUGCUGUGGCUUCUCCUUCUCCAACAUUUGUACUACUGUGUGUAGCUGAGGACAGGCACAACGGUUUUUUUUUUGUCAUCUCUGGGACAGGCACAAAAGCCCUCUCCCUUGGUGCAAGGACUGGGACAUAGUUGUUUGUCAGCAUCCUGCCUCCAUCAGAUGCCAGGCUACACUGUCAGUCUUUGGGCUGGAGCGAGAGGCAGUUCUCUGCCUUGGCUGCUGUACUGUAUGAGGUCAGCUGCUUGGCAGGGGCCUUCGGCAGAUGAUGCCAGGCAUUUUGCUGCAAGGCUGAAGUAAGUGCCUCCUGCUGAAGGUGUUUCUGAUACUGUGGCAUGCAGAGCAGCUUCUCUUCUUCCCUUUACUGUUUUGUCUGAAAGGGGGGAAACCUGGCUGCCAAGGUGGGCCCACUGAGAGGUCAGGGAGCAUCACCCUUCUUGUGCCUCAUUGCAUGGAUGUGGGAUAUUCUUACAGGCUCUAGAAAGGGUUCAGCCACUCAACCACUACGUAACCUGGAUAAUUUUUCCUGAGUUUUCUCCCUCCCGUUGUGUGUUCCUGAGUCCCAUCCAUUUUAGAUUAGUCUCAGAAAAAAAAUAAUCUGAUUUUGUCUAUUCAGCUGCAGUCCUGCACCUCCCUGCCCAGCAUCACUCUGAAGGAUCUUUGUUCCUGCCCCACGUGAGCUUUGUGUGAGUUGGCUUUUUGCUACUUCAGGAUUCCUUAGAUGGACCUGAAUGAGAUGCUGACAACCGUCACUGAAGCAGCUUGUGAUUCUCUGGUAACCUGUUCAGUAUUCCAUUUAUCUUGUUUCUAAGCCAGGAGAAUGGGAGCAAUGAAAGCUGUACAGAAGCUUAGUCUUAUUUCUAGAUUCAAGCUAGGAGGCUGCCUUUCCUAAGUUUUAUACCUCUGCUACAAAAGCUUGAAGGCCAGUCUCUUUCUGUGUCUAUGUGGUGGUAGGUUAUUUUCUAAGGAGAGAUCUGUGAGCCAGCUCUGCAGAAGAGCAGAGAGUAAAUGGCAGGCAACCUUUAAAUUCCUGCUAAGUCGGCUGGGGUAGAACUGGACCAAAAGCUGAGACCCCUCCACCAGAGCUCUGGCUGUCAGUAGUUUUGUAAUUUCCUGCUGCAGGUUCAAGUCACCAUAAGAGCAGGCACGGGAGCUGCAAACUCAUGCUGAGGUUUUCUACAUGUGGAGGUCAGAAUUAACACAGAAUACAGCGGAGUGCUAGAAAUGCAUCUGUAUGAUACAUGGAUGGGCUCAUGAAGCCAGCUGGCAAAUUCUCAUCUGGUGGGAAUUAAAGCUAGCAAAAAAUGGUAAGGCAGCAAGGAGGGCUGAAAGUAUCUCAGUGUCAUAUGAAAAGGGAAAUUAUGUUGUCGUGGGAGCCUUUGGCUGGGAUUACUGAGGAAGAUGCUAUGCCACAGGGAGCCUCUCAUUAAGUUACAGAUGAUGGCAUGUCCAAGUAAGGCAAGGAUUUUAGAUGGCUUUAUGAUAGAUGAAGAUUAACUUGGAAUUGGUGGUUGCCUAAAGACAAAGGACUGACAAACAGAUAAAGCCAUUGACCAGGACAACAAUAUUGUAAUACAGAAGUGUGUGAUAUUAGAUAGCCUUUUCUUAGGAGAUCCCCAAGGGGGGUGUUAGGAAAGUUAUCUCAAUGGGAGACCCAGUUGUCCAAAAAAGCAGUGAGAGAAUAGCUUCCAGUAAUAUAUUUCCCUGAGUAACUGGCCAUGUGAUGGUAGUACAUCAUAGAGAAAAAUACUAUGGGAAGCAGAUUUAAAAAGACCUUAAUAAAAAGGUGUGUGAAGGAAGGGGAAUGUGGGGAUGACCAAAUAAUUAAGAUGUAUAAAACAUCGUUAUGUGAGUGGCUGAUGAUCUCAAGUAUCCAUAGGUGGAUGGCUAAUGAGAUUAACAAGUUGUUUUAGCUAUGUCUAAAGGAAAAUCAAUCUCAGCAGUAAUGUGAGCCACUUACUUGACUGCAAAUUAGAAAAGAAAAAAAAAGACCUAAAUGAAAGGGGAAAAAAAAAAAAAAAAAAGAAGUACUCAUCAGCUGUGUCUGUUCUGUAUUUGGAAAGAGCAGAAUGUAGUCACGGGGGAAUGAUGAAGCACUUUCCAGACCAUUAACAAUCAGAGGAUCCUUGACAGAACUCUUUCAGGAGGAGCACUCUCCAUUUCCAGGCAUGGGUGUCCUGCAUUACUCUGCAGCUGUGAGCAGGCCGCAGUGCUGGGAGAUGCUCAGGGCAAUGGAAGGAAUGAUACUGGGAAAAAGUGCAGGCAUUCUGUGUGGCAUUGGUGCCUUCUGUCCUUGUUUGCAUCAGAUUUUGGAGCAGAGGGAGCAAAAGGUCCUUACUCUGAUUCCAGGCUGAAGAAAACUGCUUUGAGAAUGAAAAGUUCAGGCUGUUUAGUUCCUCAGAGCACGUGAGGGAAAAUCAUUGCUCAUGAGGAUGAUGUAGAUGGCUGUUUAAGCAGGCCGAGAAAGGUGUAUGAGGAGAUAUGGAGGCUGGAGGCCGCAUGCAUCCUGUGAGACUUUUGGGUGUGCUCAGCGUCCAGCACCAGCACUCAGCCUGGUAACUAAAAUCUAGAGACUGCAGACUGCCUUUGGAGGGUCUGGCCAGUCUGUUUGCCAAAUCCAGUUGCUCUUCAGCACACAGCUUACCCUUACUGGCAGUCACGUUGAUUAAUUCAUCCAAGGGUGCAAACAGAUCUUGUAGGCGUGAUUUCUUGCCUUGGAAGCGUUACAGAUCCUCAUCCAGUGACUUGGUGCCAACCAGGUGCUGACUGACUCUCUGUGCUGGCUUUCAGCUCUGCCACAGAGCUCAAACUGAUGGUUAGUGCUGGUUUCUGAAUUCCUUGGAGAUCCUCUCUAAAAUCUACGUCACAUCUGUGAAUUCCUACUCCUUGCCGUCAGGGCUGACAUGCGUGAUGAAUUGCAAGAGUCAUCAUCCAUUCUGUGCCCAGUGCUAUCUGAGACUGACACGUGGCACUGACUGCUGCUCCUCAUGGCAUCCACAGGCCCACGAGUCCCAACAUUCAGUCUGCAAUGGUGUCUUUGCCUCACCUCUGUUGGGAAAAGAAAUCUCCUAUCUGGGAAUACCCCUCCUGACAGAAGCAUUGCUUUUACUUUUCUACUGUGGCCUUCUUCAGCUGAUCCCCUUCUGUCUGAGAUGCAUUUGAAAAGGGUUUUAAUACUACUACUUUUUUUGGUCACACUGUGUCCUAAAAACUUGCCUUCUUAGGCUCUUUGAAAUUGAAUUUGCUGCUGUUUAUCAAUUCUUCUCUUUUCGUUUGACUACAGCUACUGCUUUUUGAAGGCUGUCUGUGCAAGUCUCACGCAGUCAAGUAUAACACGUUACUUAUUGUUUCUUCUAGGAGAUGUACAUAUAAAUUGAAAGUAAUUUCCUCGAGAAGAUGACACUGCUAUAGUAAGAUAAUACACCCAGGCAUCUGGUGUUUCUGCUGCCUCUCAGCACUUCCCUAUCAUCGCGCAAGGAUCUCGCUGGCAGGCACACAGCUAUGCAGGCAGCGGCACACAGGACAGCCAUUGAAAGCACCAAGCGCAGCAAUUACAGCCAGGAUGGGACCGACACAGGGCGCUUUGUUAGCCUGGCGGGGCUGUGGGCUGCCUGCUGCACUGCAGCAUCCCACCUGCUCAGCACGACUGGCCCCGGCCAGCCCCAGAACAGCUGAAAGCUGAGGAACAGCUGCAGUUUCACUCCGAGUUACCUAAAGCUCCUAUCAGGACAUUUAGAGGACAAGGCAGGUAUUGAGGCCAUCCCGGAGCUUAUGAGCUGUUCGUACUGUAAGUCCAGGGACAGGUUAUGCAACCUAUUUCCUCUAAGGAAAGCGACUCUGAGUCAUCUCCCUCUAGCGCAGUGAACGUCUGGCUUUCACACAGCUCUACCGUCACAGAUAAGCAGCUCCGUGCUUCUCACUUGUGCCUGGCCAUGGGAGAGCCUGCAGCCUCAGUCCUUGCCCCAGGUCAGACUGUAAAAGCAGCCAUCUCCAGUCAGCAGCUGCAACCUGCCUCCUGCAGAGCAGUGCAGCAUCUCUGAUGCAGCUCUCAGCCUCAGUGCUGAUGAGAAAAUAAAAGGAAGGGCCCCAUGGCUUUGGUGGGAGUGAACUGCUUAUCUACCCUACCACUCAGCAGCCAGGGUAGCUCCGUGCUUUUAGGGGGAGGUAAUGCAGCUCCUGGCAGAGGGCUGAUACUUGCAGAGAUUUGCUGCUCAGGAGCUGCCACUGUGCUUAAUUCUAGCUUCCAACACAGGGCCUGGGGCAGCCAUUUCUUCCAGGCAGAUUUAUUUUCAGUUCACUUUGUUGCAUCUCUAGUAAGGAAGAAGGAAUUGAAAAACUCCUGGCUUUCAUGCCCUUUUAACAAGUGAAAACGCAAGUCAUCCUCAGCACUUUAUUCUGCACACACCCAUCAAACAGGAAAAUCCAGAGAGCUGGAAGGUGGAUGAAGAACAUCUGCUCACCAUUCCACCACACAGCACAUCUUCCACUCAAAGCCCUCCACACCUUUUCGCUUAAGGGCAAGAGUCCUUCCCUUGCUGGCAGGCACAGCAUAGCUCCAUGCACAGCAGCCCUGCACUGGCUGGAGCUGCUGGCCCAGCAGUUACAGGCUGGCUGGGCUACCUUAAAGCAUACAUUCAAUUCUUUUUUGCUUCCCAAUGACACGCAAACAAAGCGCUUCAGAUGGUGAACACUUUUAUUGAUGUAAGGUGGUACACAUACAGAUCAGUUUCUAUCAGCCUCUCCCACCUCCCCCAGGCUGAGGAAGAAUUUGGAGGAGGAGUGGGGGAGACAGAAGGG